UAUCACGGGAGACACACGGCGGGUGCUAACGUCCGUCGUGAAGAGGGAAACAACCCAGACCGCCAGCUAAGGUCCCAAAGUCAUGGUUAAGUGGGAAACGAUGUGGGAAGGCCCAGACAGCCAGGAUGUUGGCUUAGAAGCAGCCAUCAUUUAAAGAAAGCGUAAUAGCUCACUGGUCGAGUCGGCCUGCGCGGAAGAUGUAACGGGGCUAAACCAUGCACCGAAGCUGCGGCAGCGACACUGUGUGUUGUUGGGUAGGGGAGCGUUCUGUAAGCCUGUGAAGGUGUGUCGUGAGGCAUGCUGGAGGUAUCAGAAGUGCGAAUGCUGACAUAAGUAACGAUAAAGCGGGUGAAAAGCCCGCUCGCCGGAAGACCAAGGGUUCCUGUCCAACGUUAAUCGGGGCAGGGUGAGUCGACCCCUAAGGCGAGGCCGAAAGGCGUAGUCGAUGGGAAACGGGUUAAUAUUCCCGUACUUGGUGUUACUGCGAAGGGGGGACGGAGAAGGCUAUGUUGGCCGGGCGACGGUUGUCCCGGUUUAAGCGUGUAGGUGUGUGUUCCAGGUAAAUCCGGUUCACUUUAACACUGAGGCGUGACGACGAGGCACUACGGUGCUGAAGCAACAAAUGCCCUGCUUCCAGGAAAAGCCUCUAAGCAUCAGGUAACAUCAAAUCGUACCCCAAACCGACACAGGUGGUCAGGUAGAGAAUACCAAGGCGCUUGAGAGAACUCGGGUGAAGGAACUAGGCAAAAUGGUGCCGUAACUUCGGGAGAAGGCACGCUGACA
rnacentral:rRNA from 1 species